CCACCAUGUGGCUAACGCCAGUGCUCGUACCCAUCUCAAUCUGUCCUUUUUAACUUCCACUGCCUAGACAGACAGCAUUAUGUCUAAAGAGAAACAGAGAUAUCCCAAAAUUCAAAGCUAAAGAAAAAAUUAUACCAUUAACAGCUCCCAUAUAUCUUUCUCUACAAACAAUUCCUACUUUUUAUAUACACACAUUCGAAUCUUAUUUAAUAAAUUGGAAAUGGGCGUCGCUGCCAACCGACCGACGCCUCUGCUUUCCAUCUAUUGGCGGGCGCACUACGCCGGUGCUCUUUCUGCUACUGGCAUAUCCAUAUAUAAAGUUCAGAUGAAUCAUGAAUCAUAAAGCCCUACCUACCGCAUGAAUGAGGGGUUAAAGAGGAGAGAUUUGACAGAAAACGGCCAUAAUUGUAAAGCUGUCUGCAAUAAUUCAAGCUUCAUAUUUGGCAAAAAGUGCAUCGACUCUGGCAAGACCCCAGCUAACCAGCAUCUUGAUAGAGAUAUUUCAAGCAGGUUAGUAUGUACGUUAUCAAUUUAAUUAUUUUUAAAUAAAGUAAAUUAAUAUUUUAAUAUCAAAAUUUGAA